GUUUAUGCGGAGUACAUGUAUGUUGUACUGCUGUACAUAGUAUAAAACUGCUAUUGCUACACUACUUUUAAGUAAAUACACCACCAUACACAAGCAACCGGUUUCUGUUGAGCCAGUCACCAGUGCAGUGACGGCAAGUUAUGAGCAAUUCAGAAAUUAGCUGUUGACGUGCAUGUACACAGGCCUACAUACAUCCCAUACAAAUUUCACCAUGGACUCAACAAAGAUGAAGACACCACACAUCCUGUGUACAUCGAAAUGGAUGAAAAAUCGGCACAUGUGUCUACAGAGUUAGUAGUUGCAGAAGGCGAGGUAGUUUCUGUUGUUGAUGAUGUAACAACAGCAGUCGCGUGCUACAUUUCCUCGUUUUUUGUAUUUCACCUGCAGUACAUCCCAGAACUAGUGAAGACAAUUGCUUUUUAUCAAUAUGGUGUUCUUAAGAUUGACGACCAGACUGGUAUUCAUAGUUCAUAUUCUUUGGAUUCCGUGACCAUUUAUUUGCUACCUUUUUUUCUCGAUGGAUUUGACGUCAGGAACCAUUUAA